AUGCGUUCCCGGGCCUUGUACACACCGCCCGUCACACCAUGAGAGUUGGCAACACCCGAAGUCAGUGAGCUAACA
rnacentral:tRNA from 1 species